GAUGAACGCUGGCGGCGUGCCUAAUACAUGCGAGUCGAGCGAACGGACGAGAAGCUUGCUUCUCUGAUGUUAGCGGCGGACGGGUGAGUAACACGUGGAUAACCUACCUAUAAGACUGGGAUAACUUCGGGAAACCGGAGCUAAUACCGGAUAAUAUUUUGAACCGCAUGGUUCAAAAGUGAAAGACGGUCUUGCUGUCACUUAUAGAUGGAUCCGCGCUGCAUUAGCUAGUUGGUAAGGUAACGGCUUACCAAGGCAACGAUGCAUAGCCGACCUGAGAGGGUGGUCGGCCACACUGGAACUGAGACACGGUCCAGACUCCUACGGGAGGCAGCAGUAGGGAAUCUUCCGGAAUGGGCGAAAGCCUGACGGAGCAACGCCGCGUGAGUGAUGAAGGUCUUCGGAUCGUAAAACUCUGUUAUUAGGGAAGAACAUAUGUGUAAGUAACUGUGCACAUCUUGACGGUACCUAAUCAGAAAGCCACGGCUAACUACGUG
rnacentral:rRNA from 1 species